UACGUAGGGGGCUAGCGUUGUCCGGAAUCAUUGGGCGUAAAGAGCGUGUAGGCGGCCCGGUAAGUCCGCUGUGAAAGUCGGGGGGCUCAACCCUCGAAUGCCGGUGGAUACUGUCGGGCUAGAGUCCGGAAGAGGCGAGUGGAAUUCCUGGUGUAGCGGUGGAAUGCGCAGAUAUCAGGAGGAACACCGAUGGCGAAGGCAGCUCGCUGGGACGGUACUGACGCUGAGGCGCGAAAGCUAGGGGAGCGAACAGG
rnacentral:rRNA from 1 species